GAUGAACGCUGGCGGUGUGCCUAAUACAUGCAAGUCGAACGCGAUCUUCGGAUCGAGUGGCGGACGGGUGAGUAACACGUUGGUACCUACCCCGAAGUGGGGAAUAACUGCCCGAAAGGGUGGCUAAUACCGCAUAAUACCGUAAGGUUAAAGCAGUAAUGCGCUUCGGGAGGGGCCUGCGUCCCAUUAGCUUGUUGGUAGUGUAAUGGACUACCAAGGCGACGAUGGGUAGCUGGAUCGAGAGGUUGACCAGCCACACUGGGACUGAGAUACGGCCCAGACUCCUACGGGAGGCAGCAGUAAGGAAUCUUCCACAAUGGACGAAAGUCUGAUGGAGCAACACCGCGUGCAGGAUGACGGUCUUCGGAUUGUAAACUGCUUUUAUAUGGGAAGAUUAUGACGGUACCAUAUGAAUAAGGACCGGCUAACUACGUGCCAGCAG
rnacentral:rRNA from 1 species